UGCUUUUUUGCUACCUUUUGGAAUUACCAGCCUGGGAAAAGAACUGUACUACUGUUUGAAUUGGGAAUUUCCUGCCUCAGUGGCACCUCUCUCCUUGAAGUUUCAGCACACGUUAAUGUUUGCAAGACCUGCAAGGACUUUGGAUGACCUUGUGCUGCCUAAUCCCGUGCAGGGUAACCUACCUCUCAGUUGACGUUACGUUGGGCUCAUUUGCUCUCUGGACCCAAGCACUUGGCUUUUGGCUACAGAACUUGAAGUAUGAAGGUCUCCCUAAAGAGCAAGCUGGUUGCUUCUUACCCCGAGACAAACGAAGCAAGUGGAAACGUUCUCACAAUGUUAUCUGGCCCACAAGAUUGGAACUAGAUUUUCAGGGCAUCAAAACCAGUUAAUGAAAAAUGGUUUGGUUUGUGAUUUUCUUCAGGUUUCAGAGUUUAAAUGCAUGUGCUUGACUCUAUUGUAAGCUCACGAGGAUCGUGCUGUCUUUGACAGGCUUCCUUGCCCAGCUGACACUAAGGGCUUUGCUGGGUCCACAGUGCAUGUGAACAACGGCUGUGAGAUGAUGGCAGGCACGUGGCUGGACAAAGCUUUCAAACAAAGGCACGAUUUCAUUUGAGAAGAUGGUGCCUGCAGUCAUGGCACAGGCACUUGUCAUCAACAGGGA
rnacentral:lncRNA from 1 species